UACGGCAUUUGUAGAAUUCAGUGUUGUUGUUCGUCCUCAAUCGAAUUUCGUUAAUACUUCAUACUUGCAGCAGCUUCAUAGUCAUCGUCCCUUUUUAUUCCUCAGCAUUCCCAAAUCAACUGCUGCUCUCUCAUUCACUCAAUCUCAAGGUUUUGGAUGUGGAAUUGAGAGACAACAGUGUGAUCGUCGGGAUUUUGUUCAAACAUCAGCUGUUCGAGAGUUGGCUGGUUCUCUUAUUUCUG
rnacentral:misc_RNA from 1 species